ensembl:snRNA U6 U6 spliceosomal RNA
UUGCUUUGGCAGCACAUAUGCUAACACUGGAACGAUACAGAGAUGAUUAACAUGGCCCUUGCACAAGGAUGACAUGCAGAUUCAUGGAGCACUCCAUAUUUUU